rnacentral:rRNA from 1 species
GUUUUCCUUGUCCCGAUUUUGGGCGUAAGCGCGCGCAGGCGGUUCCUUAAGUCUGAUGUGAAAGCCCCCGGCUCAACCGGGGAGGGUCAUUGGAAACUGGGGAACUUGAGUGCAGAAGAGGAGAGCGGAAUUCCACGUGUAGCGGUGAAAUGCGUAGAGAUGUGGAGGAACACCAGUGGCGAAGGCGGCUCUCUGGUCUGUAACUGACUCUGAGGCUCGAAAGCUUGUGGAGCAAAUACGACAUAUACCCUGGUAUUCUUUGCCGCUAACGAUGAG